rnacentral:lncRNA from 1 species
CAAGUGUCUGUGAUGAGCUCACUGGGUGACUUGGUGCUGCAGCAAGGCGAAGUAAUCGAGAAUUCAUCAACUGUGGGUACAGUCGGACUAGGCAAAAUCUGAUCGCGUACCGAGUCGAAAUCAUUAGGAAGCCCAACAAGAGUAAGGACUAGAAACAACGGUUGUCGUUGCUCUUGCUGCUUUGCAAACACUAGCAGAAACUGGCAUCAACGUCUCAAAUUCCUCCAUAACUGCUUGUACUUGUCCCAAGUA